rnacentral:misc_RNA from 1 species
AUUCAACAUUCAUAACAUAAACCAAAAGAAAAGUAACACUCAAUAUAGAAAAAAUCUAGAUUUUAUUAAACUCAAAUUAAAUUCUCAUGGUAACAUGCUUCAUGGCUUCAACUAUCUCCCUACUGAAUUACAAAACUCCUCACACAUAACUAAAAAUAUUAAACAUAAAUAAAUUAAUAAAAGAAGAGAGAAAAGCAUGCUGCCCCUUUUAGAAGUAAUUUGAACAACUUGGAUCUGAUGUUAAUGAUGAUGCUAGACACUCCAAAGGAUGUAGAAGCACUCCACAAGCCAAAAGAAGAAGAAAAAAUCACACUAGCAACUAGAUCAAGUAGUUGAUAUCUUUGAAUGCACAAAGAGAGAAUUUGGCCACUAUGAGUAGAAGAGAAUUG